rnacentral:rRNA from 1 species
GACGAACGCUGGCGGCGUGCCUAAUACAUGCAAGUUGAGCGCUGAAGGUUGGUACUUGUACCAACUGGAUGAGCAGCGAACGGGUGAGUAACGCGUGGGGAAUCUGCCUUUGAGCGGGGGACAACAUUUGGAAACGAAUGCUAAUACCGCAUAAAAACUUUAAACACAAGUUUUAAGUUUGAAAGAUGCAAUUGCAUCACUCAAAGAUGAUCCCGCGUUGUAUUAGCUAGUUGGUGAGGUAAAGGCUCACCAAGGCGAUGAUACAUAGCCGACCUGAGAGGGUGGUCGGCCACAUUGGGACUGGGACACGGCCCAAACUCCUACGAGAGGCAGCAGUAGGGAAUCUUCGGCAAUGGACGAAAGUCUGACCGAGCAACGCCGCGUGAGUGAAGAAGGUUUUCGGAUCGUAAAACUCUGUUGGUAGAGAAGAACGUCGGUGAGAGUGGAAAGCUCAUCAAGUGACGGUAACUACCCAGAAAGGGACGGCUAACUACGUG